GCCAGGUGUGGUGGCACAUGCCUGUAAUCCCCAAGAUUUGGGAGGCUGAGACAGGAGGAUCACAAAUUCAAGGUCAGCCUCAGAAACUUGCAAGAACCUGUCUCAA
rnacentral:sRNA from 1 species